UCGAGCUGUUUGUCUUUGAGUCAUUAGAAGAAGGAGACCAAGUAGUAGGUGUAGGGGAAUUUUACAGUUAAAGACCCAAAAGACCAGAUAUGAUGAAUGAAGACCCGGAGUCAGAGUUAUAAAUAAACUGUAGAAAUUUUACUGAAGAAUAGUUUGCAGUUUCAUCAGCAGAAGCCAGCUUCAAGCCCACAAGGAGUGAGAAGGCCGUUCUGCGUACAUUCACAUUUCCACGGCAAUUAUACUAUAACAGAGUCUACUGACUACGUCAUUACCUCAGGUUAACUAACCGAUUCUGAUUGGCUAAGAAAAAUAGACAAAAUUAGUCAUUUUCCAAGCAUGGACUGAUAGUCAGUAGCAUAUCUCCAUCCAUCAAGAUGCUGACGCUCGGACCAUGGAUUUAGGCACAGGGUGAGCUGUGAGAGGUUUACCGUAGUCAGUCGGAUCCGGGCCGUAUCCAGGUGAGAUUGAGGACCUGCGCCUUGACAUGACCACAACGCAGCCCUGAAGUGUCAGCAGAGAUUGUGUCAACUAGAUCAUUCCCUGUGAAGACCUCACCGACAUGACAGCCAGUGGCAGAGAUUCCCAACAAACCGUCCCAUACCGGCGUGAUGAAUACGAUCUUCAACUACAUGGAACUGGAUUAAAUAUUUUGACUCUUGCAAUCCCAAUCGGGUUUAUGAUCUGUAAAGCUUCCUGAAUCAUAAUCAUGCACUGUUGACUGUUAGCCAGACGUGAACUGGCCCCCCAACUGAGCCUGGUUUCUCCCAAGGUUUUUUUCUCCAUUUUUAUCACCUGUUUGUCACCUGAUGUCACCUGUUGGAGUUUGGGUCCCUUGCCACUGUCGCCUUUGGCUUGCUUAGUUGGGGACACUUGAUAUUCAACAAUGUUUUUGAUCUGCCUGCAUUGACACCUUUGUAUGAGAACUACAUUAAUAACUAUUGAGUUUUACAAUGGAAUGAAUCAAUACUGAAUUACAAUAUAUUUAUUUUUUAAUUGAAUUUUCAAUAUACUCAAUACUAAAUUUACAUAUAUUUAGUGAAAUGAACUUCCCUCUAGAGUUAAUUUCUCUAGUGAACUAACAUGCUGUGGACACUAUGUGACUUGCCUGAGGUAAAUGUAAUGCUAUGUGA